rnacentral:rRNA from 1 species
ACACGCUGGCGGCGUGCUUAACACAUGCAAGUCGAACGGAGAUUAUUAAUGAAGCUUGCGAUUUAAUAAUCUUAGUGGCGGACGGGUGAGUAACGCGUGGGCAACCUACCCAUAAGCGGGGGAUAACAGUCGGAAACGACUGCUAAUACCGCAUAAGCUAUUAAGGUCGCAUGACCUAAAUAGUAAAGGUGGCAUUUUAACAGUGCUAUCACUUAUGGAUGGGCCCGCGUCUGAUUAGCUAGUUGGUGGGGUAGCAGCCUACCAAGGCAACGAUCAGUAGCCGGCCUGAGAGGGUGGACGGCCACACUGGGACUGAGACACGGCCCAGACUCCUACGGGAGGCAGCAGUGGGGAAUAUUGCGCAAUGGGGGAAACCCUGACGCAGCGACGCCGCGUGAGCGAAGAAGGCCCUAGGGUCGUAAAGCUCUGUUGUAAGGGACGAAUGUUUGUCUGGCGAACAGUCAGAUAAAGUGACGGUACCUUACCAGCAAGCCCCGGCUAACUACGUG